rnacentral:lncRNA from 1 species
CCGCACGCCCCGGCCCCGCGCACCUCCGCCCGGCUCCGCAGCCGCUACCCGCGCUUCGUUGCCCUGUGGGACUCCGAGCGAGCCCAGAGGGAACCCUCCUCUUCUUCUGGGGGCGACUUUUGUUUGCUUGCCUGUUUCUUUCUGGUGACUUUUGCAGCUUUCCAAUAUCCGUCUCCGGAGCGCACGGGAAUCCGCCGAGCUCUGCGUGCAGGCCCUUUUUUCUUUUGAGGUUCACAGUUUUUGAAAUUUUACGCCAGGGCUUUUGUAAUUUCCUCCCCCGCCCGCUGGCGGUCCUGGAGUCGCUCGGGGCUUUAGGCCGGUUAUGCAACGUGUACCGCUCGGGGCUGCCGGCUGCACCUCCGCCGCGCCUCGCCGCUCACUGCGCUAGACCCGGCGCCCCGCGUCUCGCUUCGCGGGCAGUCAGGGGGCCGGCGCUCUGUCGAGGUCUCCAGCUAGAGCAGGGAGCCCGAGCCCGAGGGAGUCCCCGGAGCCGACGAAGGGCUUAUUAGACCCUGACUCUUUUCUGAGGCGCGCAGAUUUUGUCUUUGAUCACUCCCUCUCCGCGGGUCUACGGCCGCGCGCUUUCGGCGCCGGCAAUGGGGAGAAGACGGAGGCUGUGUCUCCAGCUCUACUUCCUGUGGCUGGUCUGUGUGGUGCUCUGGGCGCAGGGCACGGCCGGCCAGCCUCAGCCUCCUCCGCCCAAGCCGCCCCGGCCCCAGCCGCCGCCGCAACAGGUUCGGUCCGCUACAGCAGGCUCUGAAGGCGGGUUUCUAGCGCCCGAGUAUCGCGAGGAGGGUGCCGCAGUGGCCAGCCGCGUCCGCCGGCGAGGACAGCAGGACGUGCUCCGAGGGCCCAACGUGUGCGGCUCCAGAUUCCACUCCUACUGCUGCCCUGGAUGGAAGACGCUCCCUGGAGGAAACCAGUGCAUUGUCCCUGUCUGUGAAAAUGGAUGUCAGAAUGGUGGACGUUGCAUCGGACCCAACCGCUGUGCUUGUGUUUAUGGGUUCACUGGUCCACAGUGUGAAAGAGAUUACAGGACAGGCCCGUGUUUCACUCAGGUCAACAACCAGAUGUGCCAAGGGCAGCUGACAGGCAUUGUCUGCACGAAGACUCUGUGCUGUGCCACCAUUGGACGGGCGUGGGGCCAUCCCUGUGAGAUGUGUCCAGCCCAGCCUCAGCCCUGCCGACGGGGUUUCAUCCCCAACAUCCGCACUGG